AAUCUUCGGCAAUGGGGGCAACCCUGACCGAGCAACGCCGCGUCGACGGUUGACGGUAGCCGGGGUAUGAAGGCUCUGCUUUGUGGGUGGGGUUGACGGUAGCCGGGGUAUGAAGUGCCGGCUAACUACGUGCCAGCAGCCGCGGUAAUACGUAGGGCGCGAGCGUUGUCCGGAAUUAUUGGGCGUAAAGAGCUCGUAGGCGGCUGGUCGCGUCUGUCGUGAAAUCCUCUGGCUUAACUGGGGGCGUGCGGUGGGUACGGGCCGGCUUGAGUGCGGUAGGGGAGGCUGGAAUUCCUGGUGUAGCGGUGGAAUGCGCAGAUAUCAGGAGGAACACCGGUGGCGAAGGCGGGUCUC
rnacentral:rRNA from 1 species